rnacentral:tRNA from 1 species
AGCUCCGUAAUCCAACGGCAGAGAUAACAGACUUAAAAUCUGUACAGGUGUGAGUUCGAAUCUCACCGGGGCUA